AGUAAAGUCAGCUAAAUAAGCUUUCGGGCCCAUACCCCGGUUAUGUAGGUUGAACUCCUUCCUUUACUA
rnacentral:tRNA from 1 species